CCGCACUCAUUCACGAGUUUACACUCUUUUACAGUCUAAGUAUGCACUCUCACACUUUUCUGCCUAAAGAGUUUUGUGUAGCUCCCUCUAGCUUCACCCCACACGUUUUUCAGAAAAGGAAGGGUGCUGUCCAUUUAUAGAUCAUGGAUCAGCCCCAUGUACAACAGUUGCCUAUUUUCUAGGCCAAGCACUUGCCCACUACCUAUCAUGCAUGUAGUUGCCUCCUGCCACUACUUAGAAACGUGGUCACAUCAUGUGAUCAUGGGAUCAUGGCCCCCAAAUCGUGCUAACUCCUGCCAGCAUGAUGAACAAGACUCAACUGCUGCCCAUGUGCACAGCAUGUGCCGG
rnacentral:lncRNA from 1 species